rnacentral:tRNA from 1 species
GGAGGCGUUUGAGUUCCUGGUGGUCUCCCCCGCCUUCAAAGCGGGUGGGCCUGGCUCAGCCUGGCCGGCGGGUUCGAUUCCCGUCCGCCUCCGCCA